rnacentral:lncRNA from 1 species
AAUGCAACAUUUUCAUUUGGUUUUUGUAUCCAUAAAAUUGAUUUAAAUGGAGCUAAAUGAAAUGAAAAUCAAAUUCUCAUUUAAAGAGACAAAACAAUUUUGUUCUCCACCUAAUUUGGGCCAAUAUGCAAUAACCACAACUUAUUUGGGCCAUAAAGCAAUUAACCACAACUUUUGGGCUAUAUUGCAAAACUUUUGGGGUCACUUUGUAAAAACACAAAAGUCCAC